GAGAUUUUUCUGAGAAAUGGAGAUCUUGAAACAAGGAAAACAUUCAUGAACUUCAAAAUACAGAUCAAAAGGUGAAGACAACAUUUCUAGAGGAGGUGGACCUUUUCCUUUCCAUUACUUUGUUGGAACGUAAUUCAAAGAACUUCUAUGAAUGCAUCAAUGGUUUGGAGCUCAAGCCUGAGUGUGUGAACAUGCAAAUAUGUUGGCCUCAACCACAAAACUAAUCAAAACCCUUCCUUUUUCACCUGGACCAGAUAGUUCCUAUCUUAUAGACCUCUCACCCAACCAUAACAGAUAUUGUUACUUUUAUUCUGUUUAAAACCUCAUGCUGUAUUUCUUUGCCAAGUGACAUUAAACACAUUACUAAAGUUCUAAA